CCUACGGGGGGCAGCAGUGGGGAAUAUUGGACAAUGGGGGGAACCCUGAUCCAGCCAUGCCGCGUGUGUGAAGAAGGCCCUCGGGUUGUAAAGCACUUUCAGUGAGGAAGAACGCCUGGUGGUUAAUACCCAUCAGGAAAGACAUCACUCACAGAAGAAGCACCGGCUAACUCCGUGCCAGCAGCCGCGGUAAUACGGAGGGUGCGAGCGUUAAUCGGAAUUACUGGGCGUAAAGCGCGCGUAGGUGGAUUGAUAAGCCGGUUGUGAAAGCCCCGGGCUCAACCUGGGAACGGCAUCCGGAACUGUCAAGCUAGAGUGCAGGAGAGGAAGGUAGAAUUCCCGGUGUAGCGGUGAAAUGCGUAGAGAUCGGGAGGAAUACCAGUGGCGAAGGCGGCCUUCUGGACUGACACUGACACUGAGGUGCGAAAGCGUGGGUAGCAAACAGGAUUAGAUACCCCAGUAGUC
rnacentral:rRNA from 1 species